rnacentral:rRNA from 1 species
GAUGAACGCUGGCGGCGUGCCUAACACAUGCAAGUCGAGCGAACGGACGAGACGCUCGCUUCACUGGUGUUAGCGACGGACGGGUGAGUAACGCGUGGAUAACCUACCUCUACGACUGGGAUAACUUCGGGAAACCGUAGCUAAUACCGGAUAAUAUUUUGAACCGCAUGGUUCAAAAGUGAAUGACGUUCUUGCUGUGACUUCUGGAUGGCAUCGCGCUGCAUGAGCUAGUUGGUAAGGUAACGGCUUAUCAAGGCAACGAUGCAUAGCCGACCUGGGAGGGUGUUGGGCCACACGGGAGGUGAGACGCGGCCCUGAGUCCUACGGGAGGCAGCAGUACGGAAUCUACCGCGAUGGGCGGAAGCCUGACGGAGCGGCGCAGGGCGAGUGCUGAGGGUCUGCGUAUCGGAUGACGCUCUUAUUGUUGAAGAACACAUGUGUAAGGAACGGUGCACAUCGUGACGGUACCUAGAUAGAAAGCCCCGGCUAACUACGUG